AACGAACGCUGGCGGCAGGCCUAACACAUGCAAGUCGAACGCUCGUAGCAAUACGGGAGUGGCAGACGGGUGAGUAACACGUGGGAACCUUCCCUAUGGUUCGGAAUAGCUCAGGGAAACUUGGGGGUAAUACCGGAUAAGCCCUUCGGGGAAAGGAUUUAUCGCCAUUGGAUGGGCCCGCGUCGGAUUAGCUAGUUGGUGAGGUAACGGCUCACCAAGGCAACGAUCCGUAGCUGGUCUGAGAGGAUGAUCAGCCACACUGGGACUGAGACACGGCCCAGACUCCUACGGGAGGCAGCAGUGGGGAAUAUUGGACAAUGGGCGGCAAGCCUGAUCCAGCCAUGCCGCGUGAGUGACGAAGGUCUUCGGAUUGUAAAACUCUUUUGGCGGGGACGAUAAUGACGGUACCGCAGAAUAAGCCCCGGCUAACUUCGUGCC
rnacentral:rRNA from 1 species